UUUUUUUCAAUUUUUUUUUUAAAGCUCCUAGACAAAAUAAAAACUGAGCUACAUAAAAUAUCUGGGGAUGAGUUCCAGGGCUCCAGGCUUCCAGCUUAUUUCAUUGCACUUUGCAGGCAGAGUAGGCGCAUGAGAAAUUGAGAAAAUGCAGUUCAAAUCGAAGCCUUAUUUGACAAUUCACAGAAGAAAAAGAGAGGCUGCAAGCCUGUAACCUUAAGCAUUGAUCUUUAAUGUUUUCCAACCUAGAUAAGAAGAAAAAAAUAUUUCUCUCUGACAUGUAUCCAAGAACUUCAAUUAUCUGUCCGGAGAAGAAAGAGAAAGGAAAAGAAUUGAACAAAAUCAACUUGGGAUGAUAACGAGUCUCUGAAUUGAUGAAUAUCUGAAUCAGAAGUGUUGAGAAAACAAGGCUUCAAGUAUUUGACUUCACCAUAUAUCCCCAUAGAGAGAUGGGUUGGAAUUUGAGCUAAGAGUGGUUGAAAUUUAAAAAAUCCUUUGUUCACAGAGGAAUUGUAUACUUGUCUUCCACAAAAGACAGGAAAAAGAUAUAUAUGCAUAUAUAUGCACACAUGUGGUUUACUUGCUUUCUUUUAUUUUGGAAUUUACUUUCUUUGAAAA
rnacentral:misc_RNA from 1 species